AGACUUUAAAUAGAUAUUUUUAUUUGUUCUUUGAAAGUUUUAUUACACAGCCUCUCUCCUCUUUGCCAUCUGACUGAUAGGAAAUCAAAGGAUGCUAAAAUGAAAAACAUCUGAUUGUAGGAAUGAAACAAUUAGUUGGCAUCAAUAAGAGGAGCGUAUCAGUACUAACAAAAGCAAGUCUGUGACCCAGGAUCCUUAAAUAAAACACUGAAGGAAAAAAAGAAAAAAGGCACAACAACCAGGGCUAAGACCCAUGCUGGCCUAAUGGGAGAAAGAAAUGGCAAACUGACACUAGCUUUGCUUCUUGUACUAGUUUAACAUAUUUGCUCUUUGCCAUUGGAACAUUUUAUUGUCUGUGAUAAUUAUGUAACAUUUCCAUGGCAACAGGAUCAGUGAGGUGGCUCUGGCCCUCAUUUCUUUCUGCGUAAAGCUGCUGAGCUCCAAUUUUAGAGUCAGUGCUGCAAAGCAACAUGAAGUGUUUCUGUGUUGACUCUCCUAAGUCUCUAGGUCUUACUUAACUGCUUCGUUACCACAGCAGGCAUCAGGGAGGACCUCCAGAGUUACUAGUUUGGUGGAACAGAGAGGAUGUCUGUGGCAAAAGGUUCUCAGCAUGUAACAACCACAAAGCAGAACAGGGAAGAAUUAUUUUUCAGUUGUAAAAAUAAGCGAGGAUUUUUGUUGCUCCUACAUUGGCUAGCAAGGGAAGGAAUGCCGCUGAUGUCAACAUACAGCCCACGGUUACAAUAGGUCAGAUGUAGACACCUUCCAGGCAACAAAACCAAAGACAAUCCUGUAAUGAGCCAUAGGACUCUGAAGAGCUGUUAAAUCAGCAGUGUUUGUUUCCCACCCCCCCGAGAUCUGGAAGAUUGUUCAGCCUGGUAGCUAAUAGCGUUUUGUAUUGUAAAGUGAAAAUCUGUAGUCUCAUUAGUUUUAAACACAGAAAAUAAAACUACUUAUGUCCUUUCCUUCCUGCCA
rnacentral:lncRNA from 1 species